GACGGACGCUGGCGGCGUGCUUAACACAUGCAAGUCGAACGGAAAGGCCCUGCUUUUGUGGGGUGCUCGAGUGGCGAACGGGUGAGUAACACGUGAGUAACCUGCCCUUGACUUUGGGAUAACUUCAGGAAACUGGGGCUAAUACCGGAUAGGAGCUCCUGCUGCAUGGUGGGGGUUGGAAAGUUUCGGCGGUUGGGGAUGGACUCGCGGCUUAUCAGCUUGUUGGUGGGGUAGUGGCUUACCAAGGCUUUGACGGGUAGCCGGCCUGAGAGGGUGACCGGCCACAUUGGGACUGAGAUACGGCCCAGACUCCUACGGGAGGCAGCAGUGGGGAAUAUUACACAAUGGGCGGAAGCCUGAUGCAGCAACGCCGCGUGCGGGAUGACGGCCUUCGGGUUGUAAACCGCUUUCGCCUGUGACGAAGCGUGAGUGACGGUAAUGGGUAAAGAAGCACCGGCUAACUACGUG
rnacentral:rRNA from 1 species